AUCGCUUCUCGGCCUUUUGGCUAAGAUCAAGUGUAGAAUUUACUUUGUUACUCUCUCUCUCUUUAAAAAUGAUAUUGUCUACUAUAU
ensembl:snRNA U2 U2 spliceosomal RNA